UGAGGGGGGGACAGAGGAAUAAAUACGUGUAGUGUGAUUGGGGAAUGAAAACCAGGUGUGCAGGGAACAAGACAAAACGAAUGGAUACUUGAAAAUGGAGCGGCGACGGCUAGAAAGCCGGUGACGUCGAUCGCCGAACGCCUUCUGAGGAGAAAAAAACGAAAUACUUUCAUCCUUGCAAAAACAUUGGUUGCUGUGCAGGCUGGCAAACGCUCAAUUUUCAUUUGUUUUCAUAGCUUUUGUAUUGACAUUUUAUUGGAUAUAUUCAUUAUAAUAAUAUUGCUUCAUGGUUCCGCCUUAAUCGGAGAAGUUGUCUCGUUCGUGCACAUAAUUCUCUGAUGUAGGGCGAAAUUGAAUUUCAAAAGUGAAACAAUUGUUUCUGAGGUCAGACAGAGGCGGCAAUGUUUAUACAAACCAUCAGGGUUGGAAAUCAAAUGCUAGGCUCGAAGCGAAAGGAGACAAACUUUGCACAAAAGCACAGGCAGCAGGUAAAAACAAGCAUGAGGGAUCGCUCAACCUGACUACCUCCUUCCUACAAGCUGGCAAAAAAGCUUCCCCUCCCCCAAGACUCCACAGACGAAGAUCAGUAGUACCCCUGUAAAAUCACUUCAGAUAAUGGUGUUGUGCAUUCUAAUAUGAAUACUGAGAAUACCUUUAUGUUCAGACAUAUUGGAACAAACAAUGCAACUGAGAUUUAUGCACAAAACAAUCCAAAAUGCGCACUAUUGUAGGCUUAAUCACAUGACAACAGGAAGAUGGAUGGGCUCGCUUUCCUUUGGUUCUUUGUUUAGGUAUGGCAAUGCAAAUAUCAGGACAAGCAUUUCGCUACACUCGCAUUAACAUCUGCUAACCAUGUGUAUGUGACAAAUAAAAUUUGAUUUGAUUUGACUUGGACAGGGAAAUUUUAAAUUAAAAUCGACAAAACUCUUUAAAAUGUUUUAUGUUGCUAAAUCAACCUGUUGGCAAAGGGGAACAUAAUAAACCGAGAGAAAAUGAAAUGCUCUGUAAACCAGACUGCAUUCCAAA